rnacentral:rRNA from 1 species
CAGUCGCCGCGGUAAUACGUAGGGUGCAAGCGUUGUCCGGAAUCAUUGGGCGUAAAGCGCGCGUAGGUGGCCAUUUAAGUCCGCUGUGAAAGUCAAAGGCUCAACCUUUGAAAACCGGUGGAUACUGGAUGGCUAGAGUACGGAAGAGGCGAGUGGAAUUCCUGGUGUAGCGGUGGAAUGCGCAGAUAUCAGGAGGAACACCAAUAGCGAAGGCAGCUCGCUGGGACGUUACUGACGCUGAGGCACGAAAGCGUGGGGAGCAAACAGGAUUAGAUACCCGCGUAGUCCCUGUCUCUUAUAC